CCGAAGUUAAGCGUGCUUGGGCGAGAGUAGGACUAGGAUGGGUGACCUCCUGGGAAGUCCUCGUGUUGCACCCCU
rnacentral:rRNA from 1 species